UGGGGAAUCUUGCACAAUGGGGGAAACCCUGAUGCAGCGACGCCGCGUGAGCGAUGAAGCCCUUCGGGGUGUAAAGCUCUUUCGACGGGAACGAUAAUGACGGUACCCGGAGAAGAAGCUGCGGCUAACUACGUGCCAGCAGCCGCGGUAAUACGUAGGCAGCAAGCGUUGUUCGGAGUUACUGGGCGUAAAGAGUGUGUAGGCGGUUCGCUAAGUUUGGUGUGAAAUCUCCCGGCUUAACUGGGAGGGUGCGCCGAAUACUGGUGGGCUAGAGUGUGGGAGAGGGAAGCGGAAUUCCUGGUGUAGCGGUGAAAUGCGUAGAUAUCAGGAGGAACACCGGUGGUGUAGACGGCUUCCUGGACCACAACUGACGCUGAGACACGAAAGCGUGGGGAGCAAACAGG
rnacentral:rRNA from 1 species